GACGAACGCUGGCGGCGUGCUUAACACAUGCAAGUCGAACGAGAUCCCAUGUGUAGCACUACCCAGGAGGAUCUAGUGGCGAACGGGUGAGGAACACGUGAGAAACGUACCCCAGACUUUGGGAUAACAGUCCGAAAGGACUGCUAAUACCAAAUAACGUCGGAAGUCCGCAUGGACAUCUGACGAAAGGGAUUCCGGUUUGGGAGCGUCUCGCGGACCUAUCAGCUAGUUGGAGGGGUAACGGCCCACCAAGGCAACGACGGGUAGCUGGUCUGAGAGGAUGGGCAGCCACACUGGGACUGAGACACGGCCCAGACUCCUACGGGAGGCAGCAGUGGGGAAUCUUGCGCAAUGGGCGAAAGCCUGACGCAGCAACGCCGCGUGCGGGAAGAAGGCGUUCGGGCUGUAAACCGCUUUCAGUAGGAACGAAACUGACGGUACCUACAGAAGGAGGAGCGGCCAACUAUGUG
rnacentral:rRNA from 1 species